rnacentral:rRNA from 1 species
GUCAUGGCUCAGGAUGAACGCUGGCGGCGUGCUUAACACAUGCAAGUCGAACGGGAAACCUUUUAUUGAAGCUUCGGCAGAUUUAGCUGGUUUCUAGUGGCGGACGGGUGAGUAACGCGUGGGUAACCUGCCUUAUACAGGGGGAUAACAACCAGAAAUGGUUGCUAAUACCGCAUAAGCGCACAGGACCGCAUGGUCCAGUGUGAAAAACUCCGGUGGUAUAAGAUGGACCCGCGUUGGAUUAGCUAGUUGG